rnacentral:rRNA from 1 species
GACGAACGCUGGCGGCGUGCCUAAUACAUGCAAGUCGAGCGAAUCAUUGGGAGCUUGCUCCCGAUGGUUAGCGGCGGACGGGUGAGUAACACGUGGGCAACCUGCCUGUAAGACUGGGAUAACACCGGGAAACCGGUGCUAAUACCGGAUAAUCCUUUUCCUCUCAUGAGGGAAAGCUGAAAGUCGGUUUCGGCUGACGCUUACAGAUGGGCCCGCGGCGCAUUAGCUAGUUGGUGAGGUAACGGCUCACCAAGGCGACGAUGCGUAGCCGACCUGAAAGGGUGAUCGGCCACACUGGGACUGAGACACGGCCCAGACUCCUACGGGAGGCAGCAGUAGGGAAUCUUCCACAAUGGACGAAAGUCUGAUGGAGCAACGCCGCGUGAGCGAUGAAGGCCUUCGGGUCGUAAGGCUCUGUUGUUAGGGAAGAACAAGUACCGGAGUAACUGCCGGUACCUUGACGGUACCUAACCAGAAGGCCACGGCUAACUACGUGCCAGCCGCCGCGGUAAGAC